rnacentral:lncRNA from 1 species
UGGUCCAUGUGGUUUGGUUCAUUUACUUUCAGAUAAAAUAGAACUGGGGGACAGUGACCUGAAGUUAAUGUUAAAGAAACACCAUGAGAAGCGGAAACAUCAACCAGUAAGAUUGCGGUGGGAGUGGCCAUUCGUAAUUUUCAGUGUGAUGCCUCUGAUUUGUCCUGAGACAGUGUUAGUACUAUCUGGGUUGUGCUUUUUUGUUAUUUAUCACUGUCAAAGACAGGAGCAACAAGAAAGGCUGCUUGGCAUCAGAGGUAUGAGAAGCCAGUCAAGUGCUCUGGCUUUACAAGGCACGGUUGACAGUGUACGCGUCAUCCAGUCUUUGCGGUUACAUUGGUAUGUGAGAGUCAUGAUCUCCCCUUCCAGUCCCAGAGGCCGAGUUUAUCCUGCGGCUAGUGGCAGAGCCAAGAGCCAAGCUUUGUGCUAUUCCAUUUUGUGUGACCUCCAUUCUCAUUUCAAUAUGGCAGUACAUCAAAGUAGAGAAACAGUGUGAAGACAGACAGCCAUCUGAGAGAGGUCACGUAGGAAGAGCAGGGAGCCAAAAUUGGGUCUGUC